rnacentral:lncRNA from 1 species
CGAUAAAAUAACAGAAAUAAAAUAAUAUUAAGUUUGGUUCACACUUUACGACCAAGAGCUAAUUACAUUGUUUCAUGGAUUAUUUUCCCAACCAACUCUUCAAAGUGAUACCAUCUCCAUUCAAACUAAUUUCUUCAUGUUUUCAUUUACAAGUGUACAGAAUAGAUAUGAUGAAACAUAAUUCAACCAUGCAAAGAACAGGUUGAACAACAUAACAGCAAGGCUAACUAAGAUUAAAUAGUAACAGAUUAAUUCGAUCACUCAAAGGACAAAUUAAACAAAACAACAAUGAAGCAUAGGCCAAACGUCCAAACGAACGGAGAGAUUAGAAAUACCUGAAAGUAGCCUGGAUAUUAAUAAAAAUCGCCAUUGCAGCAAAUGACUCAAAGCCAAAUCUAAUGAAUACGCAACAGGGAAUUUCAGCCGGAAUCGUCAAAGAGAAACAGGAAACGAUGGCUGGAAUAUACGACGAACAACAACGACGAUGAACUCGAAACCAGCUCCGUUCAAUCGAACUCCAUUUUGAAAACUUUAUAUAUGAGUCAAUUUUAUAUAUGAAAACUCCAAUUUGUUUACAGCGACAUCAAAUUCCAGCAACUCGAACUUGACGGAAAAAAUGGACACCAACAGGAGCCACGACCUGAACCUAAACUCGGCGACAUGCUCGAAUCAACUUCAAACAGACCUCACUUUAAUCAAACUCCAUGGUUUUACCAUAAGAAAUCAGAAGAAGGAACUAGAACUUGAAAUGAAAAUCAAAGGGAUUUGAAUUAGAAAUCAGAAUAGGAAACCCCAUUUGUUCCCUUCCUUUGUUUCCUUAUUGCUUGCUUUGUUUUCAGAUCGAUUUUCUCGAUGGUUUUUGGAGCUGCUUUUGACACAGUAAAGUAGCGACAAAUUCGCUAGGAGAUGGGUUAUAGGAGUAGAGAUCCGGCGAUUUGAGUCAUUGGUUGACAGAAGCAAGGGUCAUUGGUUCUGAGUAGGCAGCGCCGCCGUUGGAGCGGGUUUCACGAUGCCUUACGGACUGGUUAGCUGGAGCAGCGACGGGCGACAGUGGUCGACGGAACUUUCUGGUGGUCAUGGACUGGCUAGCGAUGGAGGACGAGUGGUCGACUGGUCAGCUGGGCAUGGAGGGGGCUGGUUCGUUUGGUGUGGCGGCUGACUUGGGUUGAUGGUGGAGGUGAGGUGGGGCUGGCGGCUGAAGGUGUUUUUAAGGUUUGUAGUAUGUAGGUCUCUCCAUUGUUGGGUGCUUGUGUCUUAUGAGCAAGAUGAAGGUAGGGUUUUUUCAAGAAGAAGAAAGAGUAUAUUAGCU